rnacentral:rRNA from 1 species
GACGAACGCUGACGGCAUGCCUAACACAUGCAAGUCGAGCGAGCAGAUCCCUUCGGGGUGAAGCUAGCGGCGGACGGGUGAGUAACACGUGGGCAACCUGCCUCAUAGAGGGGAAUAGCCUUCCGAAAGGAAGAUUAAUACCGCAUAAGAUUGUAGCUUCGCAUGAAGCAGCAAUUAAAGGAGCAAUCCGCUAUGAGAUGGGCCCGCGGCGCAUUAGCUAGUUGGUGAGGUAACGGCUCACCAAGGCGACGAUGCGUAGCCGACCUGAGAGGGUGCUAGGCCACGGUGGGACUGAGACACGGCCCGGACGCCUACGGGAGGCAGCAGUUGGGAAUAUUGCACAAUGGGGGAAACCCUGAUGCAGCAAUGCCGCGUGAGUGGUGACGGCCUUCGGGUUGUAAAGCUCUGUCUACGGGGACGAUAAUGACGGUACCCGAGGAGGAAGCCACGGCUAACUACGUGCCAGCCGCCGCAGUAA